GUGAAACCGCGAAUGGCUCAUUAAAUCACACCUAAUCUACUGGAUAGUUAACAGUUACUUGGAUAACUGCGGUAAUUCUGGAGCUAAUACAUGCACAAAGCCCCGAACUUACGUGAGGGGCGCUUUUAUUAGAUCAAAACCAAACGGCUUCUGCUGUUCUCUUGGUGACUCUGAAUAACUUUGGGCUGAUCGCAUAGCCUAGCGCUGGCGACAUAUCCUUCGAAGGUGUGCCCUAUCAACUGUCGACUGUGGCAUAGACGCCCACAGUGGUUUUGACGGGUAACGGGGAAUCAGGGUUCGAUUCCGGAGAGGGAGCCUUAAAAACGGCUACCACAUCUAAGGAAGGCAGCAGGCACGCAAAUUACCCAAUGACCGAAGGUCGAGGUAGUGACGAAAAAUAACGAUACGGGACUCAUCUGAGGCCCCGUAAUCGGAAUGAGUACACUUUAAAACCGUCCCCGAGGAUCUAUUGGAGGGCAAGUCUGGUGCCAGCAGCCGCGGUAAUUCCAGCUCCAAUAGCGUAUAUUAAAGUUGUUGUGGUUAAAAAGCUCGUAGUUGGAUCUCGGCGGUCUGAGGGCGGUUCACUUGCUAGUGCUACUGCCCUAUAGACCGUAGUUUUGCCAGAGGUCUCAGGGUGCUCUUAAUCGAGUGUCUUGUGAUGCUGGCAGGUUUACUUUGAAAAAAUUAGAGUGCUCAAAGCAGGCUUUUACGCCUGAAUAUUCGUGCAUGGAAUAAUAGAAUAGGAAGUCGUUUCUAUUUUGUUGGUUUUCGGAAAUCGACUUAAUGAUUAAUAGGGACAGUCGGGGGCAUUUGUAUUCAAACGACAGAGGUGAAAUUCUUGGACCGUUUGAAGACAAACUACUGCGAAAGCAUUUGCCAAGAAUGUUUUCAUUAAUCAAGAACGAAAG
rnacentral:rRNA from 1 species